rnacentral:lncRNA from 1 species
GCCACCCCUGAAGAUCGAUGCCUGACUAAUCUCUUUUUUAUAGGGUGAAGGGCAAAGGGCAGUAUGCUCGGAUGAUAAGCCCCCACGUCAUGCUAACCUUGAUUUUCCAAAGCUAGUUUUGUGUGGUCAAUGGUAGUGUCGUACUUUACAUUAGCAGAAUUUUUGCAGGGUGGCGUUAGACAGACUUGGUAGUAACACCAUUUUCCAAGGGGAAGUGUGCAAUUAAUCUUGAGGAAUUACUCUCCCAGGCGAGGGCCGGAGGUUUGGCGAUGCAAGACAAACAUGUCAAGUCAUGACCGACAGCAAAAAUGCCACAUUAUGGGCUCAUAUGACCUCAUUGUUCAAACCAGGGUUCCAUCCAUGUGGAUUUGGGUCCCACAUAUCAUGGUG